CCCACCCGCUGUUGCGCGCCACUUUCGUCCAUUUUCCGUGGGUGAUUUUGCUGUCAACUAUACUCAAGGCAGCUUGAAAAAAAAAGCCCUUACAAACCAAAUAAACAGAAAAGAAGGAGAAAAGGCAGUGUCGAAGUGGCUUAUUGGUGCCAGGGGCAGGGGAGGAAACCGGACUGCGAGGGCACGUGGUGCAGAGCAAGAUUGACACGCCAUAGGCUGUGUAGUACGCACAGGGGAGGAAACCGGACUGCGAGGGCACGUGGUGCAGAGCAAGAUGGGGUCACCGGGAGAGUGAGAACAGAGGACUGAGGAGCUACACUGUUGCUUUGCCUUGUUUUGUUUUUGGAACUCUUCAGUUUAAGAGGUUAUUCUAAAAAACAUGUUGCUGGAACAUUACUGCAUAAAUGCAGUCGAACCGACACCGUAAAGAAGAUUUUAUUUUCGUUUUAAAAUCAUGUACGUCUAUUUGUCACGCAGAACAAAAUAGGCGGAACCAACUAACAAAUAACACGUUCGCGGGGGGUUCGUUAGGUGAGUGGCCUGGACAUUACCACAUGGAGAAAAGUUUGAGCUUUAGCCAUGGGGAAGUGCAAAUUUGUUGCUAUGAAAUUGGUCUUAAAUUUCAUUCUGCACGGUAUUAAAAAGGUCUUAAAAAGUCUUAAAUCUAACUCUCAGAAACCUGCAGAUACCCUGUGUUUGUAUUUGAGUUUUAAAAAGUUCUUAAUAAAUGAAAGCAUGAG